rnacentral:rRNA from 1 species
UGGGGAAUUUUGGACAAUGGGGGAAACCCUGAUCCAGCCAUCCCGCGUGUGCGAUGAAGGCCUUCGGGUUGUAAAGCACUUUUGGCAGGAAAGAAACGCCAUGGGUUAAUACCCCGUGAAACUGACGGUACCUGCAGAAUAAGCACCGGCUAACUACGUGCCAGCAGCCGCGGUAAUACGUAGGGUGCAAGCGUUAAUCGGAAUUACUGGGCGUAAAGCGUGCGCAGGCGGUUCGGAAAGAAAGAUGUGAAAUCCCAGAGCUGAACUUUGGAACUGCAUUUUUAACUACCGGGCUAGAGUGUGUCAGAGGGGGGUGAAAUUCCGCGUGUAGCAGUGAAAUGCAUAUAUAUGAGGGGGAACCCCGAUGGCGAAGGCAGUCUCCAGGGAUAACACUGACGCUCAUGCACGAAAGCGUGGGGAGCAAACAGG